UACAGAGGUCUCAAGCGUUGUUCGGAUUCAUUGGGCGUAAAGGGUGCGUAGGCGGCGCGGUAAGGCGGGUGGGAAAUCUUGGAGCUUAACUCCGAAACUGCAUUCGAUACUGCCGUGCUUGAGGACUGGAGAGGAGACUGGAAUUUACGGUGUAGCGGUGAAAUGCGUAGAUAUCGUAAGGAAGACCAGUGGCGAAGGCGGGUCUCUGGACAGUUCCUGACGCUGAGGCACGAAGGUCAGGGGAGCAAACGGG
rnacentral:rRNA from 1 species